ACAGCUUUAGAACAUACCACAACGUUUGCUCUCAUAGCAAUUAAUGUCUCCACGUUUGUCCCCAGGGUACGCCAAACCAUGUCGGCCAGCAAAAAGAGGAAACGUCCGAAGGACAGCGAGGGUUUGAGCUCGGGCGGAUGCAAUGUGCCUCGUCCUAAAAUCGCCCAGCAGGUCACUGUGGAUGAGCAGCAGGUCACUGUGGAUGAGCAGCAGGUCACUCUGGAUGAGGUGGACUCGUACGGCAAAUAUGUCAGACUCCGCAAUACAGUUGAUGAGGUCAGUGGAUGUGUCACAGGGGAACAUCUUACGAAAUUUGCACAUUUUCCAGUAACGACUAACCUGUUGAGAUCAAUUUCAACUAUUAGGAUCAGAAUUUGGGGAACUGGCAGGUGAAGCUCCAGAUUGGAUCUUCUGCUCCCAUCGUAUUCAAGUUUGCCGCAGAAUUCAUCCUGAAGGCCCACGAGAGUGUCACGAUCUGGGCGGCUGACGCUGGCCGAAACCACAAUCCUCCCUCUGAUCUAGUCUGGGAGACACAGUCCAACUGGGGACCCGUAGGCCAGGUCCACUUUACCUUGAUCAACGCCAACGGAGAGGAAAUAAGGAUGAGCAAAGCCACUGGCGCACGUUUGGAAGAUGAUGAUGGAAAUUCCACUUCCACCGUGGGAUAGAGGAAAUGGAAUUUCGGUUUCUUGUGUGUCUUGACAUAUGAAGGGAUUGACAAUAAAGCAGACUUUGACUUUUGACAUGGUCACAUUAUAAAAAUAUUGUAUAACAAUACAAUUAA